rnacentral:tRNA from 1 species
GCGCCCGUAGCCCAAUUGGCAGGAGGCAGCAGGUUUAGGUCCUGCGCAGUGCGAGUUCGAGUCUCGCCGGGCGCACCA